UAGGUCCACAAUAAUGUCAAGAGACUAA
rnacentral:piRNA from 1 species